rnacentral:rRNA from 1 species
GGACCUACGGGACGCAGCAGUCGGGAAUAUUGCGCAAUGGAGGAAACUCUGACGCAGUGACGCCGCGUAUAGGAAGAAGGUUUUCGGAUUGUAAACUAUUGUCGUUAGGGAAGAUAAAAGACUGUACCUAAGGAGGAAGCCCCGGCUAACUAUGUGCCAGCAGCCGCGGUAAUACAUAGGGGGCAAGCGUUAUCCGGAUUUACUGGGUGUAAAGGGAGCGUAGACGGCGCGGCAAGUCUGAAGUGAAAGGCAGGGGCUUAACCCCUGAGCUGCUUUGGAAA